ACUGUCCAAUUAAAACAAAGCAUUGCGAUGAACCCAGCGGAUGUUGACGCAGUCUGAUUUCUGCCCAGUGCUUUAAAUGUCAACGUGAAGAAAUUCAAGCAAGCGCGGGUAAACGGCGGGAGUAACUAUGACUCUAAUUGAGUUGCGAGUAGCUCCACCUGAUACCCUGUGAGUGCUGAGCGACUGUCAGGUUCAA
rnacentral:ncRNA from 1 species